UAGGCGCGGGCGAUUACUUCCUGCUUCCUGCAUGUUUGACGUCGCGUGUCGUUUUGCCCGGCUGACUCUCGCGUGCAGCACAUACAGCUACAGAGAAAAGUAGCUAACGUUAGCUGAACCUGGAGUAACUAAUACUUGAAAGACUAUGGAAGAAAUUCAGCCACCGACACCCGGCCAACUAAAUGGUGGCACAACCAGGAAGAGAGAAGAGUACCUGGAAUGGCCAGAGUACUUCAUGGCUGUAGCCUUUCUGUCAGCCCAAAGGAGCAAAGACCCAAGCUCACAGGUGGGGGCAUGUAUAGUAAACCAGGAGAAUAAGAUAGUUGGCAUUGGAUACAAUGGUAUGCCCAAUGGCUGUGAUGAUGACCUGCUACCCUGGUCCCGUUCUGCAGAUGACCGGCUUGACACUAAAUACCCGUAUGUGUGCCAUGCAGAGCUGAAUGCCAUUAUGAACAAGAACAGUGCUGAUGUGAAAGGCUGCACCAUGUAUGUGGCUUUGUUCCCCUGCAACGAGUGUGCCAAGCUCAUCAUCCAGGCAGGUAUUAGGGAUGUGGUCUUUCUUUCUGAUAAGUACCAUGACACUCCGGAGAUGGUCGCUUCCAGAAGGCUGCUCAGCAUGGCAGGCAUACAAUGCAGUGAACAGCAGCAGUCAUGACAUGCAGGAGGAUGGGGGUGAUGACAAAAUGUUUGAGGGCAGUCCACAGUGCUGCAAGCCGUGCCAAAGGCUUUAUGGUUCAUAGUGUUAAAGGCAGUUCAAGCCCAAGAGGACUCAGAUUGUCAUUGAUUUUAAUUCCAUUAACCACCCUGGAAUGCUUAACAGCGCGACCAAGUGAAAACGCAAACGACUCACCUUGGGGAGCUGCUGAAUGAGGCGGGGAAGCAGAGGAAGACUGACAUGAUUGAAAGGGACUUUGAUGCCUCUUUUCUCUGUCUUCUUGCCCCCUGCUUUGUCCAAAGGAAAACUCAAGGACACCUUGACAUCUUUUGAUAUUUUGAUUAACCAGAUAUUCAAGAUACUUUAAUUUGAUGCUUCACCCUUUGUGGCUGACUCUGGUGGAGGGUCUUUAAAUGGUGCUUUCACAUUUUUUUCUUUUAAAACUCCCUUUGGGUUUAGGAAUUCACAAGUACACUGAACACACUUUCUUGAGUGUUUGAUUUUAAAAUCUUUUGUGUUCCAUCAGAUCUUCUCAUGGCUUUCAGACCAGGUGAAAACCUGAAAUAUUUUUUUUCCUCCUUCAAACAUGGUUUCAGACUAAUACAGAUGCACCUCAAUAUUCAGUUUAUUUGACCUUUCACAUUCACAAUGGAAGCUGCCCAGUAAAUCAGUGAAUACUGGGAGCUGCUCAGUGUCACUGUUGGCCCUUGAGCAUCCGUGUUAGCAGUUUGGUUUUCAGGGGGUACAAGCUGUGUGAACAUUAAUAUUUAAUGAGAACAUUGUAAAGAAUGGCUAGCCUUUCUAAUCAUCCAACCACAAUACAAAGUUGCCUUAUCUUUACAUAUAUAUGUUACUGUGUGCAUAUGGGAUUUUUAAUAUAUUCCCUGUAGGGCAUAUAUAGCCUUAGUUUUAACAAUCAUUUCAGCAUUGUGUUCUGAGAAGUGCUGCUGUCUUCAGACAACGUUUCUGUAAUUGGAAUGUGAGGGUUAGGGUGUUUAGUAAUGUGCCAGCAGAUUCUUUUCUAAUUAUUACUCAAAACAGUUUUUAUUUUAGAUUUCCUUCGUUUUACUAAAUGGCUUUUAAAACAUGCUCAUUUACCACAGUCGUCCAAGAGUCUUCCUGCCAUUAACUUGAAAAUAGUAUUUAUACUUUUGCUGUUGUACUCUCUAAUAUGCUGUUACAGUGAAACGAUAUAAACGCUAAUCGUAUGUUCAUAAUUUACCGUACAUGUGAUUUCCAAUAAAUGACUGGAAACCACUUCUCAAUUCCGUCUUCAUCAUCUGUCAUUUUUACUUCAACCAUAUCAGCUGUCAGUGCUGUUGGAACCAAUAAAACUGUGGGACCACA